rnacentral:piRNA from 1 species
ACAAUCAGAGAUGCUCAGACUGGAAGGG